CAGUAGCCGCGGUAAUACGUAGGUGGCAAGCGUUGUCCGGAAUUAUUGGGCGUAAAGCGCGCGCAGGUGGUUUAAUAAGUCUGAUGUGAAAGCCCACGGCUCGACCGUGGAGGGUCAUUGGAAACUGUUAAACUUGAGUGCAGGAGAGAAAAGUGGAAUUCCUAGUGUAGCGGUGAAAUGCGUAGGGAUGUGGAGGAACACCAGUGGCGAAGGCGACUCUCUGGUCUGUAACUGACGCUGAGGAGCGAAAGCGUGGGGAGCGAACAGGAUUAGAUACCCCAGUAGUCCCUGUCUCUUAUAC
rnacentral:rRNA from 1 species